GGCUGCUCCGAAGGUGGUGAGUUAUCUCAGUUGAUUUUCACAGUUCGCUACAGAUUGAACUCCUUGCUCUCCUCUUUUCCCCCUUAUCACUUCUGUGUUUAAUUAGUCUUAA
ensembl:misc_RNA Y_RNA Y RNA